AUUGAACGCUGGCGGCAGGCCUAACACAUGCAAGUCGAGCGGAUGACGGGAGCUUGCUCCUUGAUUCAGCGGCGGACGGGUGAGUAAUGCCUAGGAAUCUGCCUGGUAGUGGGGGGCAACGUUUCGAAAGGAACGCUAAUACCGCAUACGUCCUACGGGAGAAAGCAGGGGACCUUCGGGCCUUGCGCUAUCAGAUGAGCCUAGGUCGGAUUAGCUAGUUGGUGGGGUAAUGGCUCACCAAGGCGACGAUCUGUAACUGGUCUGAGAGGAUGAUCAGUCACACUGGAACUGAGACACGGUCCAGACUCCUACGGGAGGCAGCAGUGGGGAAUAUUGGACAAUGGGCGAAAGCCUGAUCCAGCCAUGCCGCGUGUGUGAAGAAGGUCUUCGGAUUGUAAAGCACUUUAAGUUGGGAGGAAGGGCAGUAAGCUAAUACCUUGCUGUUUUGACGUUACCGACAGAAUAAGCACCGGCUAACUCUGUGCCAGCAGCCGCGGUAAUACAGAGGGUGCAAGCGUUAAUCGGAAUUACUGGGCGUAAAGCGCGCGUAGGUGGUUUGUUAAGUUGGAUGUGAAAGCCCCGGGCUCAACCUGGGAACUGCAUCCAAAACUGGCAAGCUAGAGUACGGUAGAGGGUGGUGGAAUUUCCUGUGUAGCGGUGAAAUGCGUAGAUAUAGGAAGGAACACCAGUGGCGAAGGCGACCACCUGGACUGAUACUGACACUGAGGUGCGAAAGCGUGGGGAGCAAA
rnacentral:rRNA from 1 species